GCGGAUAUGGCGGAAUUGGUAGACGUAGUGGAUUCAAAAUCCACCGGUGGCAACACCAUGGGAGUUCAAGUCUCCCUAUCCGUACCA
rnacentral:tRNA from 2 species